CCUACGGUGGACUGCAGUCGAGAAUCAUUCACAAUGGGGGAAACCCUGAUGGUGCGACGCCGCGUGGGGGAAUGAAGGUCUUCGGAUUGUAAACCCCUGUCAUGUGGGAGCAAAUUAAAAAGAUAGUACCACAAGAGGAAGAGACGGCUAACUCUGUGCCAGCAGCCGCGGUAAUACAGAGGUCUCAAGCGUUGUUCGGAAUCACUGGGCGUAAAGCGUGCGUAGGCUGUUUCGUAAGUCGUGUGUGAAAGGCGCGGGCUCAACCCACGGACGGCACAUGAUACUGCGAGACUAGAGUAAUGGAGGGGGAACCGGAAUUCUCGGUGUAGCAGUGAAAUGCGUAGAUAUCGAGAGGAACACUCGUGGCGAAGGCGGGUUCCUGGACAUUAACUGACGCUGAGGCACGAAGGCCAGGGGAGCGAAAGGGAUUAGAUACCCCGGUAGUC
rnacentral:rRNA from 1 species